GCCUCGGUAGCUCAGUCGGUAGAGCGCGUGCCUUUUAAGCCCGUGGCCGCGGGUUCGAGCCCCGCCCGAGGUG
rfam:Perkinsus marinus ATCC 50983 gcontig_1104296547708, whole genome shotgun sequence.